rnacentral:rRNA from 1 species
UGGGGAAUAUUGGACAAUGGGGGCAACCCUGAUCCAGCAAUGCCGCGUGUGUGAAGAAGGCCUUCGGGUUGUAAAGCACUUUUAUCGGGAACGAAACAUUGUCGGCCAAUACCCGGCAAGACUGACGGUACCCGAGGAAUAAGCACCGGCUAACUCCGUGCCAGCAGCCGCGGUAAUACGGAGGGUGCAAGCGUUACUCGGAAUUACUGGGCGUAAAGCGUGAGUAGGUGGUUGUUUAAGUCUGAUGUGAAAGCCCUGGGCUCAACCUGGGAAUGGCAUUGGAAACUGGGCAGCUGGAGUGCGGUAGAGGGUAGUGGAAUUCCCGGUGUAGCAGUGAAAUGCGUAGAGAUCGGGAGGAACAUCUGUGGCGAAGGCGACUGCCUGGACCAGCACUGACACUGAGGCACGAAAGCGUGGGGAGCAAACA